GUCUUGGAGAAGAGGUAGUAGUACCCUCAGCGCCCUGCGCCACUCUAUGGUGCCUCUAGUGAGGUAAGGGAACAUGGCCUGCACGGCUCCUUCGAAAUGCAAAUGGGCAGCCGCGUGAGCGGAGGUCGGUGCUGUGGCUGGCUUCAGUAGCCUGAACAUGCCGUCUAGCAAUACUGCCUUGGCCUGUUUGGGUGGCAGCAAGGCGCCUAUCCUGCACCUGACAAAAUGAGGUAAG